GGGAAUUUAUCAAGAUGAUCCCGGUUUGCCCUUUUGCUGGAGCUUCCAGACCCGAUGAUGCAACUCUUAAUAAACCUCAUGACGAAAAUAAACAACAGGCUCAGCCUAAAAAAGAGUCUGGAGAAGCUGCUACGGUGUCACCUAAGUGCCCCUUUGGAUAUGAUUCAACUCUUAAGAAACCUUGUGACGACCAAAAUAAACAACAGGAUGGCCAGGAGAGCAAGCCUAAACAAGACUCUGGAGAAUCUGCAACUGUGUCACCUAAGUGCCCCUUUGGAUAUGAUGGCCAGGAGAGCAAGCCUAAACAAGACUCUGGAGAAUCUGCGACAAUGUCACCUAAGUGCCCCUUUGGUUAUGAUUCUCAAGCAUUUAAACUGGGUCCUUUUAGCUGCAUGAUAUGUCAGGCACUUCUUUAUGAUAGCAGCAGAUGUGUGCCCUGUUCACAUGUAUUCUGCA
rnacentral:lncRNA from 1 species